rnacentral:lncRNA from 1 species
CGGUCGCAUUGCACGUUCUGCAAACCUGCAAGUUUACAAUUUGAAAUGCAAGCUUACCGUGAGAAAAGAGGAAAAGGUAACGACGGUCACGUUUGAUUAAUUGCGAUUAUGGAACGGUCCACCUCCGCCUUAGAACUCUAGCUCUCAUUCGAAACUAACAUUUUACCCUCGUCAUGCCGAAUAUUUGCAUGAAGAUUUUCACGUUCCUUCGAACCGCGGGAAGGGCGUCGAAUUAUUGGCGAGUUCAGAACGUGGUUAUGAAAUAUUCAGUUCCGAUCCCGAUGUUUGAUCGGUGUCGAAUAAAGAGGCAACGGAGAAACCGACACCCUCGAUCAACCGGGAGGAAUAACAAUCGAGGCUGGAUGUUCGAGCGUGUUUCUGAUACUUUAAAAUGUUAAAUAAACCAGUCGGAUAAUUA